AGUGAACGCUGGCGGUAGGCCUAACACAUGCAAGUCGAACGGCAGCACAGUAAGAGCCUGCUCUUACGGGUGGCGAGUGGCGGACGGGUGAGGAAUACAUCGGAAUCUACUUUUUCGUGGGGGAUAACGUAGGGAAACUUACGCUAAUACCGCAUACGACCUACGGGUGAAAGCAGGGGAUCUUCGGACCUUGCGCGAUUGAAUGAGCCGAUGUCGGAUUAGCUAGUUGGCGGGGUAAAGGCCCACCAAGGCGACGAUCCGUAGCUGGUCUGAGAGGAUGAUCAGCCACACUGGAACUGAGACACGGUCCAGACUCCUACGGGAGGCAGCAGUGGGGAAUAUUGGACAAUGGGCGCAAGCCUGAUCCAGCCAUACCGCGUGGGUGAAGAAGGCCUUCGGGUUUUAAAGCCCUUUUGUUGGGAAAGAAAAGCAGCAGGUUAAUACCCCGCUGUUCUGACGGUACCCAAAGAAUAAGCACCGGCUAACUUCGUG
rnacentral:rRNA from 1 species